CCUUAGACUGGGAUGGGGCCGGGGCGGGAGAGCGGUGCAGCUGCUGGAGCUGCAGGGGAAAGGAGCCCAGCCUCACAUUUCAGACGAGGAAACAGAGGCUCAGACAGGACCAGAUCUCGGCAGGAUCGCAGGAGCAUCCUGACUACAUCUACUGCUGAGAUUUCAUCAAGUCUAUGGCUGAGUCCAUCAGAGUUGCGGCACAAAGAUACCUGGCACAGCAAUGCAAUACUCAAUAAAUGCUAG
rnacentral:lncRNA from 1 species